AAAUCUUCUCCACUACUAUAGUAAUAUAUAGGUCUUAGAUGCCUAACAUUAUGUGUUUUAAAUGUUUUAUUUUUAUUUUGUGUUGCAAGUACAAACAUGUAGUCAUUCUCGUUUCAUGGAAAGCAUAUGAUUGCCUGUGCAGAGACGUUUCAGAUAAAACAUGCAGUUACAUUAGGUUCAAGGGUUUUUAACAGGUAUGUGCUUAACAAAUCAAGUUGACUUCAUUCAUGUUGUGGCUUUGGGCUAAUUUUCA